rnacentral:tRNA from 1 species
CAGAUCAUUUCUUUAUAGUUGAGUUUUCAUUUACGCUGAAUUAAUGUGUCGUGCGAUUCGGCAUGGUCUGA